rnacentral:tRNA from 1 species
GGCAGUAUCAUACAGUGGAAAGAAUACUGGCUUUGGAGUCAGACAACUUGGGUUCAAAUCUCUGUUCUGCCA